rnacentral:rRNA from 1 species
GAUGAACGCUGGCGGCGUGCCUAAUACAUGCAAGUCGAGCGAACAGACGAUGAGCUUGCUCCUCUGACGUUAGCGGCGGACGGGUGAGUAACACGUGGAUAACCUACCUAUAAGACUGGGAUAACUUCGGGAAACCGGAGCUAAUACCGGAUAAUAUAUUGAACCGCAUGGUGCAAUAGUGAAAGACGGUUUUGCUGUCACGUAUAGAUGGAUCCGCGCCGCAUUAGCUAGUUGGUAAGGUAACGGCUUACCAAGGCAACGAUGCGUAACCGACCUGAGAGGGGGAUAGCCCACCCUGGAGCUGAGACGCGGUCCUGACUCCUGCGAGAGGGAGCAGUAGGGAAUCUUCCGCAAUGGGCGAAAGCCUGGCGGAGCAACGCCGCGUGAGUGAUGGAGGUCUUCGGAUCGUAAAACUCUGUUAUUAGGGAAGAACAAAUGUGUAAGUAACUAUGCACGUCUUGACGGUAACGAAUCAGAAAGCCACGGCUAACUACGUG